UUCCGCUCACAACUCAACACACUCGGCAACUUCUUAUUAGCGACGCAUCUACAUCGUCAUCUCGAGUUAUGCGGAUUGAUUGGUUCUUUGUAGUAUUUUGAUUUUCUUUAUGCUUUGAAUUUCAGGUGGCGAUUCGUUUCGAUUUGGGUUUCUCUUAUUAAGCUAAUUGUUCAUAAACGCUAGAGAGUCAGAGAGGAAUUUACUCGAACGAUUUACGGUUAAUCUGCGGCGUCGGAUCAGGCAACACAAUGGUGAAAUUGGGAGUGGAGCUUGGAGAACUAAGAGCAAGCGUCCUUGGGAGAUGGUUUUAUGUAUGUAUGGGUUCCCAACGAAUGUGGCUGCUCUUCAUGUUUUAAUAGAAUUCUGCUUUCUAUGUAUUAUGAGGUUGAAUGGGCUUGGCAACACCCUAUUGAAUCAUUGGCUGUAACAAAGCAUGCUGCGAACAGUGUGAACAGAAAGUAGCAGCUGGUACCAUGUAGUUGAUUAUGCCAAUUGCAACAUAAAACAGGUUCAUGUGGUUGUUGUGGCUACUCCAGGACGCAUGAUAGACCAUUUACCCAAUUCUAUGUCGGUGAAUUUGGAUGAUCUUGCUGUUUUGAUCCUUGAUGAAGCUGAUCGUCUAUUGCAGCUUGGAUUUGAUGCUGAAAUUAAAGAACUUGUUCGCGUAUGUCCCAGAAAAAAGCAGACCAUGCUUUUUUCGGCAACCAUGCCCGAUGAGGUUGCAGAUCUUAUUAAACUUUCCCUACCAAAACCAUUGUGUCUUUGUGUUGAUCCAUCUGCAAAACGGCCAGCAGCCUUGGCUGAAGAGUAAUAUCUUCAGUUCCCUUCGCAUUCUCUAAUCCAAUCAUUCAUCUUCCAUGGAUUUAUAUUUUGUAUGCUAUGAAAUUUAGUUGUAUGUUGUAUGAAAAAUGUCAAAGUCACAAAUUAAAGUGGUAAGAACUUAAAGGCUGUUUUAGAUUUUUAAAUUAAUGAAGAGUAUUUCUUAUGAA